GACGAACGCUGGCGGCGUGCUUAACACAUGCAAGUCGAACGGAAAGGCCCUGCUUUUGUGGGGUGCUCGAGUGGCGAACGGGUGAGUAACACGUGAGUAACCUGCCCUUGACUUUGGGAUAACUUCAGGAAACUGGGGCUAAUACCGGAUAGGAGCUCCUGCUGCAUGGUGGGGGUUGGAAAGUCUCGGCGGUUGGGGAUGGACUCGCGGCUUAUCAGCUUGUUGGUGGGGUAGUGGCUUACCAAGGCUUUGACGGGUAUCCGGCCUGAGCGGGUGAGCGGGCUCAUUGUGAGUAAGAUACGGCCCAGACUCCUACGGGAGGCAGCAGUUGGGAAUAGUGCAGAAAGGGCGGAAGCCUGAUGCAGCAACGCCGCGUGCGGGAUGACGGCCUUCGGGUUGUAAACCACUUUCGCCUGUGACGAAGCGUGAGUGACGGUAAUGGGUAAAGAAGCACCGGCUAACUACGUG
rnacentral:rRNA from 1 species